GGAGCUGUGAUUCAGAUGUAGAGCAUCUGCCUGGCAUGCAGAAGAUCCCAGAUUCAAUCCCUGGCAUCUCCA
rnacentral:tRNA from 1 species